GUGUGUAACAACUCACCUGCCGAAUGGAUUAGCCCUGAAAAUGGAUGGCGCUGAAGCGGGCAGCCGACACUGUGCCGUCUGGGCAAAAAAUAUUUUUAAAAAAGAGUGGAUCCAGAUGAGUAGGAGGAAUGUGGCGGUCGUAUUGAAGCGUGUGCGCAAGCAUGCGUGAAACGGCCGCUAGUACAGAUCUUGGUGGUAGUAGCAAAUAUUCAAAUGAGAACCUUGAAGGGCGAAGCGGGGAAGGGUUCCACGCGAACAUUGAUUGGGCGUGGGUGAGUCGUUCCUAAGCCGUGUGGUAAUGGGUAGAGAAACGGCGAAAGGGAAGCAGGUUGAUAUUCCUGCACACGGAUGUGGAUAUGCGGUGACGCACACUGGGGCGGUGAAGUCGUCGAUUGCACUGGGCAGAGAUUUCUUUUCUGUUUGACGGAGCCUGACUGUACGCUAUGGAAUCCGCUUGUCGGGAGAAAUAGGUAUGUCACGGCAAAGCGCCGGGUUUUUUUUCUGGCGUCCAGUUUGUGAUUGGCGGACCUUGAAAAACUGUCUGCUGGCAAAACACUCGUUGUUUUGUGUAAAAAAAUUCCACGCCGUAACGUACCGAUAACCGCAUCAGGUCCCCAAGGUGAACAGCCUCUGCUCGAUAUGAAAAAUGCAGGUGAGGGAAGUCGGCAAAUUGGACCCGUAACUUUGGGAAAAGGGUUGGCUCUAGUGCUGCGUAGGAGUGGUCACUGGUUGUAGCUGCGGAUUGUGGUGUUUUGUUUCAUUGUGAGGGCUUGCGGGCGGAAGAGUCUUCGGGUUUUUUUUCGCUCGCGCUUUUGCGGUGGAAUGAGGCGCCGUUUUUCGCGGUUCCUGGGGACGCCUACAGCAUGCAGCAAACUAGAACUGUAACGGACAAAGGGAAUCCGACUGUUUAA
rnacentral:rRNA from 1 species